AGGCAAUGAGGUAGCAAGACACCAGUGGACCCAGGUAGUGACGUCCUGGGUCCACUGGUGUCUUGCUACCUCAUUGCCU
rnacentral:pre_miRNA from 1 species